rnacentral:rRNA from 2 species
ACUGCUCAGUAACACGUGGAUAACCUGCCCUUGGGUCCGGCAUAACCCCGGGAAACUGGGGAUAAUUCCGGAUAACGCACAUAUGCUGGAAUGCUUUAUGCGUAAAAUGGAUUCGUCUGCCCAAGGAUGGGUCUGCGGCCUAUCAGGUAGUAGUGGGUGUAAUGUACCUACUAGCCUACAACGGGUACGGGUUGUGAGAGCAAGAGCCCGGAGAUGGAUUCUGAGACAUGAAUCCAGGCCCUACGGGGCGCAGCAGGCGCGAAAACUUUACAAUGCGGGAAACCGUGAUAAGGGGACACCGAGUGCCAGCAUCAUAUGCUGGCUGUCCAGGUGUGUAAAAUACACCUGUUAGCAAGGGCCGGGCAAGACCGGUGCCAGCCGCCGCGGUAACACCGGCGGCCCGAGUGGUGAUCGUGAUUAUUGGGUCUAAAGGGUCCGUAGCCGGUUUGGUCAGUCCUCCGGGAAAUCUGACGGCUCAACCGUUAGGCUUUCGGGGGAUACUGCCAGGCUUGGAACCGGGAGAGGUAAGAGGUACUACAGGGGUAGGAGUGAAAUCUUGUAAUCCCUGUGGGACCACCUGUGGCGAAGGCGUCUUACCAGAACGGGUUCGACGGUGAGGGACGAAAGCUGGGGGCACGAACCGGAUUAGAUACCCGGGUAGUCCCAGCCGUAAACGAUGCUCGCUAGGUGUCAGGCAUGGCGCGACCGUGUCUGGUGCCGCAGGGAAGCCGUGAAGCGAGCCACCUGGGAAGUACGGCCGCAAGGCUGAAACUUAAAGGAAUUGGCGGGGGAGCAC